CGCGGCUGACCCAAGCUGCCAAGCCGGCUUCCACAGGAACCAGGCACCACCUCAAACAACUGCUACUGUGUAUUUAGGAAGAUGAAAGGUCUGCAGGAAGCACGUGAUGUCUUUGAAAGGGGAGCAGGUUGCAGAGGGGGCAAGGGAAGGUUUUCAAGUAAAAAUGAAUUCAUCCAUUUUUCAAAGAUCUAAGAAGCCAGAGAAGAAUACUGGACUCUAGCAAGUGCUGGAGCUUUAUGCAUUAUUCAAACGUCAUGAAUGCUUGACGACGGGAGACCUGGAAAGCUUCAAGGAGAACAAGUCACCUGGCAUGUUUCCAGAGAGGAAGCGUGGGUGAUCUAUGUCAUCCAAACGGAGGCAGCGGCUGGGAUGGUUUUUGUAGCACCUAUCUAUGGUCUGUACCUCGGCACUAUACGACAGCCCUAUUUUCCUCCUCCUCCUAGACUACAUAGAGAGGGAGGACCGCUCCGCAGUGAACUCUGCGCUUAUCUAGGGAGAAACUAUUCCUGACCCACAGGUGUUAAACACAGCAAAAAGCAAACUAAUACACAGAAGCGCAGUAGUGAAGCAGAAGCACAGAAGAACCGAGUGCGACAGCAAAGCCCCAAAAGGAGGAGGGUUGGAGCAUGAUCCCUCCUUCUGCAGCAGGAGCGGCAUCUUGAAGAGGGAAGCAUGCCCAAGAAAAUACCCAUGCUUUCCCCAACUCUCCGCAUGAUCAUCUUGCUGGACACGAUCAGUGAGGCAUGCAGCCAGCGCGCACUGAGGAAGCCUUCCAUGUGCUUGCUUCACCCAUGGGUAAAGAGCAGCAGUAGCUCAACAGUACCCGCCUACGUGCAAGUUCCGCUCUUUGCAUCUAUUUCUGGUUACCCCUAUGGGAAAGUAGAAACCUGCACUGAAUGUCAAAGAAAAGCUUCAGGGAUGACAAAGCAGAAGAGACCUGGUCACCAUGUUCAUCUGCGAGAGAGAGAGAGAGAGAGAGAGAAAGGGAUGCAGAAAUACAAUCUGGGCUUCAGAAGUGAUUGGUAACUUCUGGCUUUGGGGUCCAACCUAAGGUUUAAAAGAAGAAAAAAAUACUGCUUUUCUUUCAAGGGAAUUCUAUUCUGCCUCUGUG
rnacentral:lncRNA from 1 species